rnacentral:misc_RNA from 1 species
CAACCCUCAAGCCUGGCUUGGUGAUGGGGCACUGCCUGUAAAAGGGCAGGCCCUGAAAUUCAGUGGCGAGCUCGCCAGGACCCCGAGCGCAGUAGUUAAACCCUCGCUCUGGAAGGCCCUGGCGGUGCCCUGCCGUUAAACCCCCCAACUUCUGAAA